UUACAUAGAUAAGUGUCGCCGUCAUAUCGCAAAAUGUCCAUUUGUAUAUCUGUUGUAUGAGUUAUUUAUUGUGUGUAUCAGUAUGUGCCCCCGGGACGUAUGGACCAGACUGUGAGAAGAAAUGUGGGAACUGUACUGAGGGACCAUCUGUCUGUAGUUUAACAACUGGGCACUGUCCCCUGAGGACACCCAAGUGCAUGGAGGGAUACUCUGGUCUGAAAUGUGACACAGUAUGUGUCCCCGGUAGGUAUGGACCAGACUGUGAGAAGAAAUGUGGGAACUGUACUGAGGGACCGUAUGUCUGCAAUUCAACAACCGGGUACUGCCCCCUAAGGACACCCAACUGCAUGGCGGGAUACUCUGGUCUGAAAUGUGACACAGGUAAGUGUUAUACAGGGAAUAACGUUGACAGGAAAUUAUAAGCAAUCAAAAGUACAGGUGAAACGCCGUUGGUUCCUAGCGAAUUAAAACUGUUCACAUACAUUUUCUUGUAAAGGUGUGUACCUGUACAUGUACAAACAAAUGUUUAGAGACUCUUCUAGAAAGUACAUUUCCCCCCUCUUCAAGAACCUUCCUGGAAUUUGGAUGUGGCUUUUUGGUCAAGUGUUAUAACUGUACGUUUGGGAAAUCCAGCGACAAUUAGAAAUUGACUACAAGACAAUGCACGCACAUUAGAAAUUUAUUUUCAUAUUUGCUGGUCGUAUAAUAGAAGGAAGCACUCUCUAAAACAUUGCAGUACUCUCUAAAUAUAUUGCACAAUGAAAAGUGUAUCAGUUGUACAUACUAUGUACACAUUUAACAUUGGACAAGUUGCAUAUUGCUGGUACACAAAGUAUGGGCCCCUCGUACACAGUACAUUUUUUUAGGAAAGUAUUCCUUUGAUAUCUAAACAUGUUUUUCUUUAAUCGUGUAAAAGUGUGUAAGAAGUUAAUAAUCAAAUAUACAGUUGCAGAAAAACUCCUAGGCUGCUUUACAACAUAUUCUAAAUAAAACUGUUAUGCAUGCACGAGAUGGAUAAGCUGGAGUCUUUAAGAAAACAGAAUCAUUUAUGUACUAGAUACGUUAUUCAAUUAUAAAAUGCAUUGUCUUCCAGUUGGUGAGGGAAAAAUGAUGAGACAAACUUUGCUGUGAUCAUUUUCCUGAGAGUCGUUUUCUGUUUAUUGCGUUUGGUAGUUUCUACGUUCCCCAGUGUCGAGGUCGUAUCGAAAAUGGCCUAUGUGUAGGCCUAUUUUAUCAGUUGUUGAUGUAUGUAUCAGUAUGUACCCCCGGGACGUAUGGACCAGACUGUGAGAAGAGAUGUGAGAACUGUGCGGAGGGACCGACUGUAUGUAGCACAAUAUCCGGGCACUGUCCACAGAGAACACCCAGGUGCAAACCGGAAUAUGUUGGUGAGAAAUGUGACACAGUUUCAGACCUAUCAGGUAACUCUAAGGAUUACACGGGAGUGAUUGCCGGAAGUGCUGUCGGAAUAUCUCUUGUUGUCAUGAUCACCGGAGUUAUUAUUAUUGUUAUGAUACGGAGGAAACCGCCACGUGCACAGACAGGUGGUGCUAAAGGCUCUGGAACGAACAGUACUCCAGCAGACGAGAGCUCCGUUCCCGCAGAAGUUAUUAAUUGCAGUGAAAUGUCUGAGCCGUCAAGAUUGUAUGAUACAUGUGAGGAACAUUCUGGUGAAGAUCCCCCCUAUGAAGCCAUUCGUGAAUUCGUCAAUCUA